rnacentral:rRNA from 1 species
UCGAGAAUUUUUCUCAAUGGGCGCAAGCCUGAAGGAGCGACGCCGCGUGGGGGAUGAAGGUCUUCGGAUUGUAAACCCCUGUCAUCCGCGAACAAACCCCAUGGUUGAACAGGCCAUGGGUUGAUAGUAGUGGAAGAGGAAGGGACGGCUAACUCUGUGCCAGCAGCCGCGGUAAUACAGAGGUCCCGAGCGUUGUUCGGAUUCACUGGGCGUAAAGGGUGCGUAGGCGGUGGGGCCAGUCUGAUGUGAAAGCUCCGGGCUCAACCCGGAAACGGCAUUGGAAACUGCCCCGCUGGAGGCCUGGAGGGGGGACUGGAAUGCUGAGUGUAGCAGUGAAAUGCGUAGAGAUUCAGCGGAACACCAGUGGCGAAGGCGAGUCCCUGGACAGGACCUGACGCUGAG